rnacentral:rRNA from 1 species
AUUGAACGCUGGCGGCAGGCUUAACACAUGCAAGUCGAGCGGAGAGAGGUGGCUUGCUACUGAUCUUAGCGGCGGACGGGUGAGUAAUGCUUAGGAAUCUGCCUAUUAGUGGGGGACAACAUUUCGAAAGGAAUGCUAAUACCGCAUACGUCCUACGGGAGAAAGCAGGGGAUCUUCGGACCUUGCGCUAAUAGAUGAGCCUAAGUCGGAUUAGCUAGUUGGUGGGGUAAAGGCCUACCAAGGCGACGAUCUGUAGCGGGUCUGAGAGGAAGAUCCGCCACACUGGGACUGAGACACGGCCCAAACUCCUACGGGAGGCAGCAGUGGGGAAUAUUGGACAAUGGGCGGAAGCCUGAUCCAGCCAUGCCGCGUGUGUGAAGAAGGCCUUAUGGUUGUAAAGCACUUUAAGCGAGGAGGAGGCUACUUUAGUUAAUACCUAGAGAUAGUGGACGUUACUCGCAGAAUAAGCACCGGCUAACUCUGUGCCAGCCGCCGCAGUAACAC